rnacentral:RNase_P_RNA from 1 species
CCAGGGAUAGCGCCACAGAAAGCAAACCGCCGCGCAAGCGGUAAGGGUGAAAGGGUGCGGUAAGAGCGCACCGCCCGGACGGCGACGUUCGGGGCACGGCAAGCCCCGCCGGGAGCAAGACCGAAUAGGGGCGACGGAAGGCCUUAAGCGCGAGCUUUUUGCCUUCAACCCGUCUCCGGGACUGUCGCCCGGGUUGGUUGCUAGAGGCGGGCGGCAACGUCCGUCCCAGAGGAAUGGUCGUCACGUUCUGCAAAGAACGUACAGAACCCGGCUUACAGGCCGACUGGCGUU